CGGGUGAGUAAUGUAUGGGGAUCUGCCUGAUGGCGGGGGGUAACUACUGGAAACGGUAGCUAAUACCGCAUAACGUCGCAAGACCAAAGAGGGGGACCUUCGGGCCUCUUGCCAUCGGAUGUGCCCAGAUGGGAUUAGCUAGUAGGUGGGGUAACGGCUCACCUAGGCGACGAUCCCUAGCUGGUCUGAGAGGAUGGCCAGCCACACUGGAACUGAGACACGGUCCAG
rnacentral:rRNA from 1 species